rnacentral:rRNA from 1 species
UACGGUGCUGAAGCAACAAAUGCCCUGCUUCCAGGAAAAGCCUCUAAGCAUCAGGUAACAUCAAAUCGUACCCCAAACCGACACAGGUGGUCAGGUAGAGAAUACCAAGGCGCUUGAGAGAACUCGGGUGAAGGAACUAGGCAAAAUGGUGCCGUAACUUCGGGAGAAGGCACGCUGACACGUAGGUGAAGUGAUUUACUCAUGGAGCUGAAGUCAGUCGAAGAUACCAGCUGGCUGCAACUGUUUAUUAAAAACACAGCACUGUGCAAACACGAAAGUGGACGUAUACGGUGUGACGCCUGCCCGGUGCCGGAAGGUUAAUUGAUGGGGUCAGCGCAAGCGAAGCUCCUGAUCGAAGCCCCGGUAAACGGCGGCCGUAACUAUAACGGUCCUAAGGUAGCGAAAUUCCUUGUCGGGUAAGUUCCGACCUGCACGAAUGGCGUAAUGAUGGCCAGGCUGUCUCCACCCGAGACUCAGUGAAAUUGAACUCGCUGUGAAGAUGCAGUGUACCCGCGGCAAGACGGAAAGACCCCGUGAACCUUUACUAUAGCUUGACACUGAACAUUGAGCCUUGAUGUGUAGGAUAGGUGGGAGGCUUUGAAGCGUGGACGCCAGUCUGCGUGGAGCCGACCUUGAAAUACCACCCUUUAAUGUUUGAUGUUCUAACGUGGACCCGUAAUCCGGGUUGCGGACAGUGUCUGGUGGGUAGUUUGACUGGGGCGGUCUCCUCCUAAAGAGUAACGGAGGAGCACGAAGGUUGGCUAAUCCUGGUCGGACAUCAGGAGGUUAGUGCAAUGGCAUAAGCCAGCUUGACUGCGAGCGUGACGGCGCGAGCAGGUGCGAAAGCAGGUCAUAGUGAUCCGGUGGUUCUGAAUGGAAGGGCCAUCGCUCAACGGAUAAAAGGUACUCCGGGGAUAACAGGCUGAUACCGCCCAAGAGUUCAUAUCGACGGCGGUGUUUGGCACCUCGAUGUCGGCUCAUCACAUCCUGGGGCUGAAGUAGGUCCCAAGGGUAUGGCUGUUCGCCAUUUAAAGUGGUACGCGAGCUGGGUUUAGAACGUCGUGAGACAGUUCGGUCCCUAUCUGCCGUGGGCGCUGGAGAACUGAGGGGGGCUGCUCCUAGUACGAGAGGACCGGAGUGGACGCAUCACUGGUGUUCGGGUUGUCAUGCCAAUGGCACUGCCCGGUAGCUAAAUGCGGAAGAGAUAAGUGCUGAAAGCAUCUAAGCACGAAACUUGCCCCGA